UACGUAGGGGGCAAGCGUUGUCCGGAAUCAUUGGGCGUAAAGCGCGUGUAGGCGGCCUGCCAAGUCCGAUGUGAAAGCUCGGGGCUCAACCCCGAGUCUGCAUUGGAAACUGGCAGGCUUGAGUCCGGAAGAGGAGACUGGAAUUCCUGGUGUAGCGGUGAAAUGCGCAGAUAUCAGGAAGAACACCGGUGGCGAAGGCGGGUCUCUGGGACGGUACUGACGCUGAGACGCGAAAGCGUGGGGAGCAAACAGGAUUAGAUACCCUGGUAGUCCACGCCGUAAACGAUGGGCACUAGGUGUGGGAGGUGUCGACUCCUUCCGUGCCGAAGCUAACGCAUUAAGUGCCCCGCCUGGGGAGUACGGCCGCAAGGCUAAA
rnacentral:rRNA from 1 species